AGGCAUUUCGAUGAGAUACAGAAAUGCGAAGAGAUACAGAACAAUAUGCGUUAACUGUCAACUCGAAAUUCGUUGCGUGAAUCAGAACGGUGGUUUGACAUACCAAAACAAAUACCACAGAGCCGUAUACAACACUUGUCGCGACCACGUUUCAAGAGGUAAUGCACGACGAUACACAACAGUUUGCGCUACACCUGCCAACUCAAGUUUUAUUAAAUGAAUGAAAGUAGUAGUGGUACGAUCUUGCUUAUGCACAGCGCUAAGCACAACGGAGACACCGUAAUAAUAAAUACUAAAGCGUCUGUAAAAUAACAAGAAGCAGAGGACAUUCAAAUCCCAGUUCGUCGUUGGAUACGUGAACAUUACACAAAAUUAACAAGUAGUAAUAAGGCAAGAUGUAAUCAUUGUAAUGCAAAAUUUAUUAUAUAUUGUAUAAGAAUCCAUCCUUAGCUGUUUUACAUAAACACUUGAUGAAGACACAUUCACACAAAUUAACAA